UACGAAGGGGGCUAGCGUUGUUCGGAUUUACUGGGCGUAAAGCGCACGUAGGCGGAUCGUUAAGCCGGGGGUGAAAUCCUGGAGCUCAACUCCAGAACUGCCUUCGAUACUGGCGAUCUUGAGUCCGGAAGAGGUGAGUGGAACUCCUAGUGUAGAGGUGGAAUUCGUAGAUAUUAGGAAGAACACCAGUGGCGAAGGCGGCUCACUGGUCCGGUACUGACGCUGAGGUGCGAAAGCGUGGGGAGCAAACAGG
rnacentral:rRNA from 1 species